rnacentral:rRNA from 1 species
CCUACGGGGGGCUGCAGUGGGGAAUAUUGCACAAUGGGCGCAAGCCUGAUGCAGCCAUGCCGCGUGUGUGAAGAAGGCCUUCGGGUUGUAAAGCACUUUCAGCGGGGAGGAAGGCGGUGAGGUUAAUAACCUCAUCGAUUGACGUUACCCGCAGAAGAAGCACCGGCUAACUCCGUGCCAGCAGCCGCGGUAAUAAGGAGGGUGCAAGCGUUAAUCGGAAUUACUGGGCGUAAAGCGCACGCAGGCGGUCUGUCAAGUCGGAUGUGAAAUCCCCGGGCUCAACCUGGGAACUGCAUUCGAAACUGGCAGGCUAGAGUCUUGUAGAGGGGGGUAGAAUUCCAGGUGUAGCGGUGAAAUGCGUAGAGAUCUGGAGGAAUACCGGUGGCGAAGGCGGCCCCCUGGACAAAGACUGACGCUCAGGUGCGAAAGCGUGGGGAGCAAACAGGAUUAGAUACCCGAGUAGUC